UUGGAGGGCAAGUCUGGUGCCAGCAGCCGCGGUAAUUCCAGCUCCAAUAGCGUAUAUUAAAGUUGUUGCAGUUAAAAAGCUCGUAGUUGAAUUUCGGGAUCAAUAUAACGGUCAUGCCGUUGGUAUGCACUGUUAUCAUUGAUUUCUCACCUUCUAAAGAACCGUAAUGCCAUUAAUUUGGUGUCACGGGGAAUUAGGACUGUUACCUUGAAAAAAUUAGAGUGUUUAAAGCAGGCUCACGCUUGAAUACAUUAGCAUGGAAUAAUGAAAUAGGACAUCCGAUUCUAUUUUGUUGGUUUCUAGGAUCGAUGUAAUGAUUAAUAGGGAUAGUUGGGGGCAUUAGUAUUCAAUUGUCAGAGGUGAAAUUCUUGGAUUUAUUGAAGACUAACUACUGCGAAAGCAUUUGCCAAGGAUGUUUUCAUUAAUCAAGAACGAAAGUUAGGGGAUCGAAGACGAUCAGAUACCGGCGUAGUCUUAACCAUAAACUAUGCCGACUAGGGAUCGGAUGAUGUUAAUUUUUUAAUGACUCAUUCGGCGCCUUACGGGAAAC
rnacentral:rRNA from 1 species